rnacentral:rRNA from 1 species
UACGUAGGUGGCGAGCGUUGUCCGGAUUUAUUGGGUUUAAAGGGUGCGUAGGCGGCCCUGUAAGUCAGUGCUGAAAUAUCCCGGCUUAACUGGGAGGGUGGCAUUGAUACUGUGGGGCUAGAGUACAGAUGAGGUAGGCGGAAUUGACGGUGUAGCGGUGAAAUGCGCAGAUAUCAGGAGGAACACCGGUGGCGAAGGCGGUUCUCUGGGCAUGUCCUGACGCUGAGGCGCGAAAGCGUGGGGAGCAAACGGG